rnacentral:tRNA from 1 species
GGUGACUCAAUGCUAGAGUGCUUGCCUUGCAUGCAUGAGGCCCUGGGUUCGAUUCCUCAGCACCA